UACAGAGGGGGCAAGCGUUAUUCGGAAUUAUUGGGCGUAAAGGGCGCGUAGGCGGCCAUUCAAGUGACGGGUGAAAGCCCUCGGCUUAACCGAGGAACUGCCUGUCAGACUGGAUGGCUUGAGACCGGGAGAGGUGAGUGGAAUUCCCCAGUGUAGCGGUGAAAUGCGUAGAUAUUGGGAGGAACACCAGUGGCGAAGGCGGCUCACUGGACCGGAACUGACGCUGAGGCGCGAAAGCGUGGGGAGCAAACAGG
rnacentral:rRNA from 1 species